CCUACGGGUGGCAGCAGUGAGGAAUAUUGGUCAAUGGACGCUAGCCUGAACCAGCCAAGUAGCGUGAAGGAUGACUGCCCUAUGGGUUGUAAACUUCUUUUAUAUGGGAAUAAAAUGUUCCACGUGUAGUGUUUUGUAUGUACCAUAUGAAUAAGGAUCGGCUAACUCCGUGCCAGCAGCCGCGGUAAUACGGAGGAUCCGAGCGUUAUCCGGAUUUAUUGGGUUUAAAGGGAGCGUAGGUGGAUUGUUAAGUCAGUUGUGAAAGUUUGCGGCUCAACCGUAAAAUUGCAGUUGAUACUGGCAGUCUUGAGUACAGUAGAGGUAGGCGGAAUUCGUGGUGUAGCGGUGAAAUGCUUAGAUAUCACGAAGAACUCCGAUUGCGAAGGCAGCUCACUGGACUGCAACUGACACUGAGGCUCGAAAGUGUGGGUAUCAAACAGGAUUAGAUACCCCAGUAGUC
rnacentral:rRNA from 1 species